UGUUCGGACAGUUACACGCCAUGACUUUUGAAAAACCAGCUGAAGCCGGGCGCGGUGGCUCACGCCUGUAAUCCCAGCACUUUGGGAGGCCGAGGCGGGCGGAUCGCGAGGUCAGGAGAUCGAGACCAUCCUGGCUAACACGGUGAAACCCCGUCUCUACAAAAAAAAAAAAAAAAAAAAAUUAGCCGGGAGUGGUGGCGGGCGCCUAUAGUUCCAGCUACUCGGGACGCUGAGGCAGGAGAAUCGCUUGAACCCGGGAGGGGGAGGUUUCAGGGAGCCUCCUCUAAACAGAAAAGACUGACCCCCAGUCAGUGUUUUAUUUUCCCUGAUGACCGCAGGCCAUGAACUUAUGGAACAAUAAGGUAAUUAGGCUCUUGGAUCCAGGGAAGUAGCUCCAUGCCACCUGCCCUCAUUUGCUGAGCAUUUUGGUUUCUCGGAUCUGCUACUCAGUUUCCAGUCUCUUCCUCCCUGCCAAUGCUGCCAGCGUGCCUCUUCUGCAAGCAGCAACCGCCUUCCACCUUCCAUUCUCUCCUCUUUAGCCAUCAUCUGGCUGGACUUUUCAGAAUGGACUGCAAAGGAGAAUAAACUGGCUGAGUCUGAGGGUGCACUCACGUGCAAAGUUGCAAGCUUUAAUGUACCCAUCUUGGCAGAUUUUGGCUCCUUAGAGUUCUUUCGCAUUUGGGGAUCUCAUGUGCCCUCUGAUGAGGUGGGCUCACUGACUGUCUGUGCUGGUGGCAUCUGGCAGCACCUUGUCACGUGCACCUAGGUAAGAACCUGGCUGCACCUGAUGCUUAGCCAAAUGGGGAGCCCACAGUUCUGUGUAUCAGGUGAUGUUUAAUCUCUGGAGGUUAAUGAACGUGAGGGAGCGAUACUGUCUGGGACUGUCCACAUAUUGCGUCUGAGUCACUGAAGGAAAAGAAUGUGGGGUCUGUUUGCUGGGAUUGGACACCUCCAUAAUCACAUGCUCCAUGAAAUGCAGGCAGGAGAUCUCGCUUUCUACCUCUGGGAUGGGAGUGUGCAGUUUCAGAAUGAGACUAGCCCACACAACUGACUCUUUAUUUGGGAAAGAGAAAUGAAAUCAGAUGCAGCAAUUUAAUAUCCACUAAGAUGAUAUCUUAAUCACAAACACUCUUCUGGUUUUUAGAAAUGUGAAUGUUAUUUACACUAGGUUAAAAAAACCUGAAUAUCCAACAGCAUGACACUGACUAAAGAAAUACUGGCGCACUCUGGAACCUUGCACACCACUUAUUGGCAUGGGAACAAUGGGAACACGCCUAUACAAAGAUGUGCAUGGAAAUUAGAAGAAUGCAACACUGUAGAACAGAUGUGACUAGGUGCAUGAUCAAGAGCACACAAGACCAAGCCUGCCUCUGCACACACAAGACCGCGCCUGAGUCUGCACCACGUGACGGGACCACUGUGGAGCAAGCCUGGGAGAUUCUGAUGUAGGCAGCAGAGGCGUCACUUAGGGACCAGACUUCCGUGGGAAACCACCAUCUCCUUCCAACCCAGAUGCACUUCGUGGGAAACGCGAGCAGAUGAAGGUCAUGUAGGAGACGAAAGAACUCGCUCCCCAAGCCUGUAGGCCUUUGUCCUCCACCCAUGGACCGAAGCAUCUUGUUAGAUGAGGGCCGCCCGCAGCCAGGGCUGGCGGAGAACCUGCCAACGAGCAGGUGUCCGUAAAGAACUGCUGACUGUCACUGUCCCUACUUGGGGGCCACUGGGGGAUCUGAUGCAUCUCACUACCCUUUGUAAAGGAAUUAUUGAAAAUGUCAGCCCUCUAACAAGGCAUAGGUUGAUUAGUUACAGGAUUUAACAUUUCUAUUUUAAAAGGCAGCAUUGAAGAAUGUCUUUACAAAGGCUGUACAAAACCUGCCAUAUUCUUUGUCACACAGAUUGACUCAUGUGCAAUGCAGCCAUUUGAUGAAACACUGGCAUUUACCAGAUGUAAACUUAUUAGCAGACGACAACUAGAAAUAGUGUGCUGGAUGUGCCCGUUUAUUUAUAUGAAUAUAACCAUCUCUCUAGAUGCAUCGAAAGAUACACAACAUGAGAUCCACUUUAUUUCUACAAGUUUAUGAUCAGGUGGUCAGGACAGGGAAAGAAGAGGAAAAAACUUUAAAUCAUGGACCUUUAUUCUUAGACACCUUUAUCCUACAUACACAAGGUACAUGCAUGGUUGAAAUAACGGAAACAAGGUGGAUAAAAGUGAAAGUAACUUAAACUGCUUUACCCAGGAAUGCCCAAUUCAGAUGCUGCAGAGAAGAGCAUGAGAACCGGGUGUCUUCAGGACAGGUGUGCAUCUGGGAGCAGAGUGGGCAUUCAUCAGCAGGGAGGAGCAAGGCCUGGGUCGGGGGACACUGGGGCUGCUGUCCCAGAGGUUGGCAGUGUAGCCCUGAAUCCCCAAGACUUCACUCAGUCUCCCCUCAACCACCUAAACCAGAAUAAACUGAUGUAGCAGGACUCCUCAAACACUGUGCAGGGUCUCCAUGUCCUCGAUGGCCCCUGAUGAGCCACAGUACCCUCAGGUCCUAGUGAAGGAGCUGGUGCUGCCUCCUGCCUUUCCCCACAUGGGGUCCUGCAGCUCAUCCCACACAGCCUCAGAUUCCCUCUACAGAACCUGCCCACAGAUGUCUUCUGAGACCAGCAAUACUGGGAGGCCUGUGGCCCAGACCCAGGAGGAACCAGCUGAGAGGCUCCGUGGAGGUAUCGCUGAUGGUGUAACCAGAAUGAAAAUGCCCACUUCUGUUCUGCUCCCUGAGAACAACUGUCAAGCCAGCAUGAGUUUCCAGUUGGAACUUUUCCUUUUCUCCCCAUGUUUGUCACUGUUUUAAUGGACAUCGCCUGGCUAUUAAAUCCCCCGAUGAACUCACUUUGAAAAUUAUCUAUUGCACUGGGCACCCUUUCAGGAAUCACUGAGUGUUAAUUUUCUCAGUCUGAGUGAUAAUUUAUGAGUCAAACAAGGACAGAUCUGAAGCCAGAGGCUGCUCCUGUUGGGAAAUCCCUGAGGAUGAUGUUCCAGGGAAGCCUCCAGCCUUGGGAGUCCCGUGGAACUGAGCCAGCCCAGGUCAUGAAGGGAGCUGGUGCCAGACACUGACUGGGGACCUGCUGGCCUCUGGGCAGACCGCUCUGUCGCUGCACUUGGCCUGCUGGGUAUCCCUGUGCAGUCAUACCAAGUCCUGUGCUCAGAAGGGCCCCAGAGUAGUUUAAAGUUCUGCUGCCGCCCCUGGAAGCUCAUGAUUUUGAACAACAACAACAACAAAAAACCCACGUUUUCCACUCGGCCCCACACAUUAUGUGGCCUGCGCAGCUGUCAGGCUGUGGCCACAGUGCUGGCAUCUCUCACACAAUGAAGGCUGCUGGAGUCCUGGCUGACUUGUUUUGACUCUUUUGUGAGGCCCACACCUAAGCUAAACACUCACGUGCCCCCACGCUGACUCCCCACACUCUAAAGCAUGAAUCUGCCCCUUCAGCUGGGAGAGGGUCCUCGUGUCAUCUGGGUUUUUGGAGAGAAGGUCAAGGGAGCCUGGGUUCUAGUUCUUCAGUAAUCAAGAGCAAUGGUCUUACCUGUUCACAGGUCCCUGUGGCUGCUUUACAGAAAGCAGGAAGUGGCCACUUCAGCCACACGGCUGCAUUUCCAGCUCAGUCCAGGCAGAGCUGCACCCUGCCUUGCACCUCUGCAGAUCCUGAGGGGAGUCCUUAACUGAGCCAGGGCGAGUCCUGGGGGCACUCUGCCCCUGGGCAGGCCCUGAAUCUCCUCUGCUCCCACACUCUAGAGUUCAACAGGUCUCAGGGGCUCUGCCUGAGGACUGUCCUUCAACCAGGGAAAUCUGGAUCCUCUGGUGAAAAAGCAAAUCCAGUUGCUGCUGCUGCUGCUGCUGCUGCUGCUGCUGCUGCUGCUGCUGCUGCCGCCGCCAGUUCUUGUAAAUGUCCUCACUUGGUUUCUGGGCAGCAACUUCCUUGACUUGCCUGGGGAGCGGAUCUGAGCUGCAUUUACCAGGCCAUGCCCAGGGGAAGUGAUCAGUGUGGGACCGUGAAGCUGGAUUUCCCCAGGAGCUCCCUCCAAGCUUCUGGGAUGAUGAUAAGACUCGGGAUGAACCAAGGAUCUGGAACCAUGGGACAAUGUGAAGUCUAGACCCAGUGGAGGAAGAGAAAGGCUAUGGGAAGGGCAGGCUUCACGUUACUGAGCAUCCGCUACCUGCCACACACUUUCACGUGGACUUAUUCUGUGUGUUUCUCACAGCACCCUUGAGAAAUAGAGACUACGAUCACAUCUUUUACAUAAAAGAAAACCACCAUCCAGGGAGGCGAAGUCCCUUGCUCACAGACUGUCAUGUGGGAAGCUCUCUGGAUGCAAUGAUGUCCUCCAGUUGCAGUACCAGGCAAGCUGUCCCAGAGUUCAUGGAGCGGAAAGGCUCGAGAAGCAACUGAGGAUGCUCAAAUCACAGUCAACCUCACCCACUCAGGUGUGACCACGAGGACCAGAGCCGAGGUCUGGGCAAGAGUGCUCACAGCUUAAGGGCUUAUGACACACACCGGCUCAACGGGACAGACAUGGGACAAGUGUGCCUGAUCAUGGUGGCGUUGCCAAGAAGCAGCUGUCGCACUGCCAUGGGUUCUACGUGUUUCUUGGGCAGAGGACGCAUGGGACCAGAAUGGGCACCAGGAAUGGUGGUGAACAAAGGCCCCAUGGUUCUGCAUGUUUAGGUGUCUCUUGUAUAAAGGCACAUUGUGAAUUGAACAUUUAGUGCCCAGGAGCCUCAUGCAUAUUAAGUAUCUCUUGGCCCUUGUGUCUCUUCCUUCCCACAUGUAACAUACCUGUUCUCUGUAACUAUCUAUUCUGAACGUAUCUAAAAACCAUGUCUUGCCUGUGUUAUACAAACCACAUGCAUACUCACGUUCUCUGAUGUAGCUGAAUGUUUCCUAAGGCCAG
rnacentral:lncRNA from 10 species